CCUACGGGGGGCAGCAGUGAGGAAUAUUGGUCAAUGGCCGGAAGGCUGAACCAGCAAAGUCGCGUGAGGGACGACUGACCUCUGGGUUGUAAACCUCAUUUAUAAGGGAAGAAUAAAUGCUACGUGUAGCAUGAUGCCUGUACCUUAUGAAUAAGCAUCGGCUAACUCCGUGCCAGCAGCCGCGGUAAUACGGAGGAUGCGAGCGUUAUCCGGAUUUAUUGGGUGUAAAGGGUGCGUAGGCGGUUUGUAACGUUAGUGGUUAAACGUCGGGGCUUCACCUGGAUUUGCCAUUGAUACUGUAAGACUCGAGUUCAGACGAGGCAGGCGGAAUAAGUUAAGUAGCGGUGAAAUGCUUAGAUAUAACUUAGAACACCGAUAGCGAAGGCAGCUUACCAGACUGCGACUGACGCUGAGGCACGAGAGCGUGGGUAGCGAACAGGAUUAGAUACCCCAGUAGUC
rnacentral:rRNA from 1 species